UGGCACAUGGAGGCCGCCGGGGGAGCCCGCGGCCGCCGCAAGGUGGCGCCUGAGCGCCGGGAACCGCCGGCCCCAGGCCCCCCCCGGCAGCGCUGAGGCGCCCAGGUGAGCCCGGCUUCCUAAUUAUGCUUUGAAGCCUCCAAAAGAUUGACCGUAAUUGUUCCCAAAUGCAUAAACACAACAAAUUAGGUUUAUUUCUCAGGUAUUACUUUUGGUGAAGUAGGGCUGGGGCACACAGAUGGACUGGGGCAUGGUUUGUGUAUUGGUCAUAAUUCAUCCAUCAAGUAUUACUAAAAUAUUUUUUUCAGAAGAAGUGGCCUACUUCCAAGUGGCUUUUGUUGUGACAGUUUUUUGUUCUUGGAUUUUAAAUAGUACAGCUGUGACGUAAGCCUUUCCUUAAAAUGACACAUUUGGGGGUAGGGUAUGGCUCUACCACAGUCAACAAAUUCAGAUGAAGUCUCGGUAGUUUGGGGCUGAAGUGCUGAUUAGGAGGCAAGGAGCUCAGAUGGACAUUCUCCAUUUGCAUGGGGAGAAGGAAAACCAAAACAAGUGUGGUGAGCAAAAAGAACCAAAGAACCACAAGUGAAGAGACAACAAGAGGAAUGGAGCUGGGAGAAAAUCACCAUACUUUUGUAAGUAGAUGGCCACGUUGCCUGCUAAAGUAUUUCCUCCAAGUCCAGAAACACUCAGGUGACAUUGCCAUUGCCUCUUUUGCACACCCAACUGCUAGCACGUCCUGUUGUUUUAAGCAUCUGUGGUGGCCUUGGCAAUUUUGGUUUGUGGUUUUGCUGUUACCUUCCUGCUAUGGCUAAUUAUUGCUAUUAUUAUUAUCGGCUGAAGUCUUCCAGGCGUGGUGGUGGAAGCCGACUGAUUAUGGGCAAGCGAUCUGGGCUGCUGCUGUUCCCAGUGUAAGGUGUAGUGGUGAGGAGAUGUGAGAUGCUUUUGGAUCUUUUCUUGUGGUGGUCAGAUAGCAAGGCUUUCAACAACUUCAGUUCCAGCUGGGUCAUUGGGAUUCUGAACUAUGUACUUCAGCACAGCUCAUGGAUUUUAAACCUGUCACAUUGUACUGUUAUUAUAGAUAUGGUCCUGCACUUGCAAGCUGUUUUCUUGAUCUUUUGCCAGCAAGGCUUUUGUAGCAGUCCUUGGAAGAUAUACUGUAGCAGUUCCCUUUUAUAAUAUCUAUCAUUAACACCUCGUUGGCAUCUGUAAGAGUUUCUUCUUUGCUGGUGAUUGGAGCAGUUGAUUAAGCAGCCUUUUGCUGUCCACGGGCAAUUUCUCAGAUUUCCACCUUGUUUCAGAUCCACCUUUUCUAGCAAAGGUCCUGGAGAAAGGUUGUGGCAGGGCAACUACAGCCCUUACCUUCAUGGUAAUAAUAAACUGUUUGAAAAAUUUCA
rnacentral:lncRNA from 1 species